UACAGGGGGGGGAAGCGUUGUUCGGAAUUACUGGGCGGAAAGGGCUCGUAGGCGGCCAACUAAGUCCGACGUGAAAUCCCAAAGCUUAACUUUGGAACUGCGUCGGAUACUGGAUGGCUUGAAUUCGGGAGAGGGAUGCAGAAUUCCAGGUGUAGCGGUGAAAUGCGUAGAUAUCUGGAGGAAUACCGGUGGCGAAGGCGGCAUCCUGGACCGACAUUGACGCUGAGGAGCGAAAGCUAGGGGAGCAAACGGG
rnacentral:rRNA from 1 species